rnacentral:rRNA from 1 species
GACGAACCGUGCGAACGUUGUUCGGAAUCACUGGGCUUAAAGGGUGUGUAGGCGGUCUGUCAAGUCAGGGGUGAAAUCUUUCGGCUCAACCGGAAAACUGCCUUUGAUACUGGCAGGCUCGAGGGAGAUAGGGGUUGCGGGAACUACCAGUGGAGCGGUGAAAUGCGUUGAUAUUGGUAGGAACGCCGGUGGCGAAAGCGCGCAACUGGACCUCUUCUGACGCUGAAACACGAAAGCUAGGGGAGCAAACGGG